GCGGCGCAGCUCAGUUGUUAGAGUCCCGGAUUGUGAUUCCGGUUGUCGUGGGUUCUGCCGUGUGCUGCA
rnacentral:tRNA from 2 species